rnacentral:rRNA from 1 species
AGCCCAGCUUGCUGGGGUGGAUUAGUGGCGAACGGGUGAGUAACACGUGAGUACCUGCCCUUAACUCUGGGAUAAGCCUGGGAAACUGGGUCUAAUACCGGAUAGGAGCGUCCACCGCAUGGGGGGUGUUGGAAAGAUUUAUCGGUUUUGGAUGGACUCGCGGCCUAUCAGCUUGUUGGUGAGGUAAUGGCUCACCAAGGCGACGACGGGUAGCCGGCCUGAGAGGGUGACCGGCCACACUGGGACUGAGACACGGCCCAGACUCCUACGGGAGGCAGCAGUGGGGAAUAUUGCACAAUGGGCGAAAGCCUGAUGCAGCGACGCCGCGUGAGGGGAUGACGGCCUUCGGGUUGUAAACCCCUUUCAGUAGGGAAGAAGCGAAAGUGACGGUACCUGCAGAAGAAGCACCGGCUAACUACGUGCCAGCAGCCGCGGUAAUACGUAGGGUGCGAGCGUUAUCCGGAAUUAUUGGGCGUAAAGAGCUCGUAGGCGGUUUGUCGCGUCUGUCGUGAAAGUCCGGGGCUUAACCCCGGAUCUGCGGUGGGUACGGGCAGACUAGAGUGCAGUAGGGGAGACUGGAAUUCCUGGUGUAGCGGUGGAAUGCGCAGAUAUCAGGAGGAACACCGAUGGCGAAGGCAGGUCUCUGGGCUGUAACUGACGCUGAGGAGCGAAAGCAUGGGGAGCGAACAGGAUUAGAUACCCUGGUAGUCCAUGCCGUAAACGUUGGGCACUAGGUGUGGGGACCAUUCCACGGUUUCCGCGCCGCAGCUAACGCAUUAAGUGCCCCGCCUGGGGAGUACGGCCGCAAGGCUAAAACUCAAAGGAAUUGACGGGGGCCCGCACAAGCGGCGGAGCAUGCGGAUUAAUUCGAUGCAACGCGAAGAACCUUACCAAGGCUUGACAUGUUCUCGAUCGCCGUAGAGAUACGGUUUCCCCUUUGGGGCGGGUUCACAGGUGGUGCAUGGUUGUCGUCAGCUCGUGUCGUGAGAUGUUGGGUUAAGUCCCGCAACGAGCGCAACCCUCGUUCCAUGUUGCCAGCACGUAGUGGUGGGGACUCAUGGGAGACUGCCGGGGUCAACUCGGAGGAAGGUGAGGACGACGUCAAAUCAUCAUGCCCCUUAUGUCUUGGGCUUCACGCAUGCUACAAUGGCCGGUACAAUGGGUUGCGAUACUGUGAGGUGGAGCUAAUCCCAAAAAGCCGGUCUCAGUUCGGAUUGGGGUCUGCAACUCGACCCCAUGAAGUCGGAGUCGCUAGUAAUCGCAGAUCAGCAACGCUGCGGUGAAUACGUUCCCGGGCCUUGUACACACCGCCCGUCAAGUCACGAAAGUUGGUAACACCGAA